rnacentral:lncRNA from 1 species
CUGGAUCUGAGUCCUCUCUAUAGUGCUGACACAUGGGGUGGCUCAGGCCAUGGGACCUCCGAACUCCAAUCCUCACUCCAUAUAAUGGGCUUGAAUAACACCACCCACUUCCAGGAGAGCUGGACAAUUCCAGGACUUCCCAAGGUGGCAGAGGCUUGCAACCUCUUAGACAUGUCUCCAAAGGGCUCAGACUCCUGUGUCUCCUUCUAAGUCAAUGGACAGCCCUGACCUACCCACUGAGCUCAGCAGCAAGCCUCCAGCCCCCUGGAGUUCACCGUCCCCCCAACCCUUUUGCAGGGGCUGGGAGGUGAAGUGACCUGCCAGGCUCACCUAGGAAGUCCGAGAGGUGCCUCUCCAGGCUGCUGCCACCUCAUGCUACUGAUUUACCAAAGCAGCAGCAGGUUCUCAGGGAAUAUGUCUGCCCUGGCUGGGUGGCCCGGCACCAGAGAAGGCAAGUCCCAGGUGCUGUACUUGGCCAUCUUCUGAGGCAAGCUCCAAGGCAGUGGCACUUAACUGAGGGUGUCCUGGUAUCACCCAGGGAACCCCUUUCAAAAUAUACACACGCAGCCCUUACCACCACUGACAACUCUCAAAAGGAGACGCACAAGCCAGGAAGCCAUCUGUAUUGGUAAAAAUCACAGUAAGCAUGUCCUCCCGUGAUUCCAAGGCAUGACAGUUUAAAUUGGCUGCUGUAAGAUUUUUUUAUUUUUAUUUUUUAAAAAUUUUUGGUGGUGCUGAUUGAACCCAGAGCUCUCCCACUGAGCUACUCACAGCCCGAAGACUUCCAACUCUUAUUCCCUCUCCUAUGGGAGCAGCUGUGGUCCCCAGGGUUCAAGUACAGUCUGGAAGAAAGCCCAAGGGGAUUCUCAUUUGCCCAAGGCUUUCUGUGGAACGUCGCGGCCAACAAUGAGACCUUGGCCCAGAAGAGAGACGCAGAGGGAGAGCAGAGACUAGCUCCAGCUCUGGGCAGGUGGCAGCUCCCCUGACCGAGGAAAACAAGCCACUACACGCUAGCUUGUGGGUGGACACAGCCUUCCCGUGUCGUCAAGAGCGACCCCUUGCUUAUUGGCAUGGAAAGAUGAUCCUGCUACACUGAAGGAAAAAACCCACACAUUCCAGAAAAGUGGAUAAUGGACUGACCCGUUUAUUUUUAAAUAUUUUUUUUAGUUGUCGAUGGACCUUUUAUUUAUUUAUAUGCAGUGCUGAGGAUCCAACCCAGUGCCUCACACAUGCUAAGCAAGCACUUUACCACAGAGCCACAACCCCAGGCCAGACUCACCCAAUUUUGGGUAAAACACAAGGUCUCUCUCUCUCUCUCUCUCUCUCCGUCAAUCUAAAUAUUUCAAUAGCAACAAAAAAUAACUCAGAAGAAUUAAUACCAAAUUGCUUAGAGUGGUUACUGGGAAAGAGAAAAGCAAUAAUGGGUGAAUUUUUUUUGUCAUCUGUCAUUUUGUUAAUUAUGAGUAUGAGCUUUGGGUUCAGACAGAGCUGGGUUCACU